GACCAAGGCCAGCACCGAGAGAGAAAAGACACCGAAAAUCUUCAAUCGAGCUAGAACCUCAGUACAUAGAAGAUAAUAAAAUCAAUGUUUCUGAUGCCUCAUAUCAAAGUAAAACAACAAUUUCAAAAACUCCAAAUGGCGUUCGUAUAAUUGUUGAUAUAUUUUUUGAUCAAAACAAAGGUAUUGCCUUAGAAGAUGUUGUUGGAAGUCGCAUUGAAACUGAUAUACCACCGAGUAAAAUUUUAAGAGAAUUUCAAAAAAGAGUAACUGAAUAUUCACAAGAUUGAGAAAAAACCAUCGAAGUUCAAUUUUUUUUUUCCUCCAAAUUUCGUAACACGUACUACUUUAUAAUUUUUAGAAGCUCUCAAUAGUCUAUUCCGAUGCAAUAAAAUAUAUUUUUGAAACUUUUACCAAAA